UGGGGAAUAUUGCACAAUGGGCGAAAGCCUGAUGCAGCAACGCCGCGUGAGCGAUGAAGGCCUUUGGGUCGUAAAGCUCUGUCCUUGGGGAAGAAGUGCGAUCAGGUGAACAAUCUGGUCGUUUGACGGUACCUGGCGAAUAAGCUCCGGCCAACUCCGUGCCAGCAGCCGCGGUAAUACGGAAGGGGCUAGCGUUGUUCGGAUUUACUGGGCGUAAAGCGCAUGUAGGCGGCGGAUCAAGUGGGGCGUGAAAGGCCUGGGCUCAACCUGGGAACUGCGCUUCAGACUGGUCUGCUCGAGUUCGGGAGAGGGUGGUGGAAUUCCCAGUGUAGAGGUGAAAUUCGUAGAUAUUGGGAGGAACACCGGUGGCGAAGGCGGCCACCUGGCCCGAGACUGACGCUCAAGUGCGAAAGCGUGGGGAGCAAACA
rnacentral:rRNA from 1 species